UCUUGAAAACGGAAAAUAAAAACAGCAGACCUAUGAAGGUCGAAGGGGAAGAAAAGCUGUAUCGAUUGUUGAGAUCUGGCGACUUGUUUAAAUUUCAUCAGCCUCACUUCUAUGAACUCUCAGGACAAACUGCAAAAGAGUCGCAUCGAGUUGAGACUUCUCCAAGGGCCAUGGGGUUGACAUCUGUAUUCUCAGGCCUCAUGUGUACCAGCUCUCUGCUCUCCUUUGCCUUGGGACGUUCCAUCCCUGGAAGUUUCCCUGCCCACAUCUUUGUAGAGAGUCCAUUCUCCAAGCUUCAGUGUGUCAUCUGUGAGGACUGUGACCAACCUGGUACAUCGCCUCAGGGCAUUCAUUUCAGGCUCCUUCUAAAUGGUCAAGGAUCAGAGGGAAACAGACCAUUUUCUAUUGUGACAAAGAGAGAACCCAGGAAAGGGGCAGUGUUUUUCCCCUCACAGGUGAUGGAGUUUGUAUAAAGAAUGCAGUGGAUAAUGGCAGGCUUGUCCUCUGAACAGAUGGUGAUGGUCUUGUU
rnacentral:lncRNA from 1 species